AUGAGACAGCUAGUCUGGAUCACCACUUAUUUUGUCCUUUGUCCCCUCCGCUUCUCUAACCCCCUCUUCUAGCUUUUACUUUAAAAAAAUUUUUUUUUAAUGUUUAUUCAGUUUUUGAGAGAGACAGAGGGUGAGGCGGGCGGGGAGAGGUAACAGAGAGAGAGGAAGACGCAGAAUCCAAAGCAGGCUCCACGAUCUGAGUUGUCAGCACAGAUCCGGACAUGGGGCUCGAACUCACACACCGUGAGAUCAUGACCUGAGCCAAGUCGGCCGCUUAACCAACUGAGCCAUCCAGGCGCCCCAAGCUUUUACUUUUCUAUUCAACAUCACAGACUGUCAUGUUACAUUCAAACAAUCAUGUUGAUUAUUCAUUCACAUGAAUAUAGUAGUACUAAAAUAGAAAGAAGAAGCAUGGCUCAAAUCCAAUGCUUUCUGUUUUGGUUUGUUUUGUCGUUGUUUUCACGAUAACCCUGUCCUGGGCUAUCCCCCCAAUCCACCACUGCAGCUGUAGCGUUGCGAAAUGUCGAUCCAGAAAAUGCAGCAUCAAGCCUGUGCCCCACCAUUUAACCAGCUGUGCCACUUUAGGAGCGUACUGUCCUCUAAACCUCGGUUUUUUCUCUGCAAACUGGGAAUGCUGAUAGCUACCUUACAGCUAUUUUUAGAUCCGUAAAUGAGAGAAGAGGGGUGGAAGGGAGUACUGCCGUAUCUGGCACCGAGUGCUAAGUCAAUACUUAGUAAGUGAACAUUUUUGAAUGUAUACAAAUAGAAAGCAUAAAAUAACUUUCAUCUUAAAUGAAAAGAGCUGUGCACAGUGGUAUGCUGGUCAAUAUUCACAAACGGCUUUCCUGGGGCGGGGUGCCGAUCUACAGUGUUUGCUUAUUUCCAUCGUGCAAACACUCCUGUCUCGGGCAGUGUCAAGCUCCCAAUGUGAACUCUUUGUGCAGCAGAGAAGACUCGCGCAGUGGCACACCGUCAUCGAGGACCUCCACCUUACAGAUCCGCUGACACAGAUAAUCGCAAGAGCAGGGACAACGAAGCAUUGCGUUGGGACGGCACUGUGUAGCUGAGCAGGCUGGGGUCUUAAUUUCAUGUUGUGAGUUAUUGUAAUAAGAGAUGAGCUACUGAUAUUCACACAUGUAAUGAAAAAAAC
rnacentral:lncRNA from 1 species